rnacentral:rRNA from 1 species
ACGGAAGGCAGCAGUGAGGAAUAUUGGUCAAUGGGCGGAAGCCUGAGCCAGCCAAGUCGCGUGAAGGAUGAAGGUAUUAUGUAUUGUAAACUUCUUUAGACGUAGAGAAAUAAGGGGAUCGUGAUCCCUGAUGCUAGUAUACGUAGAAUAAGGAUCGGCUAACUCCGUGCCAGCAGCCGCGGUAAUACGGAGGAUCCGAGCGUUAUCCGGAUUUAUUGGGUUUAAAGGGUGCGCAGGCGGCUUUUUAAGUCAGUGGUUAAAUCGUGGAGCUUAACUCCAUCCCGCCAUUGAUACUGGAGAGCUUGAUUGCGGUUGAGGUUGGCGGAAUUCGCCGUGUAGCGGUGAAAUGCAUAGAUAUGGCGAAGAACUCCGAUUGCGUAGGCAGCUGACCAAGCCGUAAAUGACGCUCAUGCACGAAAGUGCGGGGAUCGAACAGGAUUAGAUACCCUGGUA